UACGUAGGGUGCGAGCGUUAAUCGGAAUUACUGGGCGUAAAGCGUGCGCAGGCGGUUUUGUAAGACAGGGGUGAAAUCCCCGGGCUUAACCUGGGAACUGCGCUUGUGACUGCAAGACUCGAGUACGGCAGAGGGGGGUGGAAUUCCACGUGUAGCAGUGAAAUGCGUAGAGAUGUGGAGGAACACCGAUGGCGAAGGCAGCCCCCUGGGUCGAUACUGACGCUAAGGCGCGAAAGCGUGGGGAGCGAACAGG
rnacentral:rRNA from 1 species